GUUAAAGACUCAUCGUUGUUUGUCACGUACGUUUUCUUGGUGUGAGAAUUCUCUCUUCACUUACACGUCUCCCCACCAGCCCCCUUUCCCCUACAAAGCUUAUCCAGAGCUCCACCGCGAGGAGGCGCAAGCUUGCCUUCGUCGCGUUGUUGUCGUCGGUCAUGUGACCAGAAGAAGAAAGCACAUUUACACUUUCCCACAGGCGCAGCAGCUGUAAAGACUACAAGGACCAUUGUGGCUCCGACGCGCCCCCACUGCGAGUGUCAAGACCCCUGCACACACGACCACACCUUGAAUUGAUGAUCCACAUGUGCCUUCGAUUCGUUCCCACGUGGGGAGGAUGUGCCACGCUACGCUUCCAACCCGUGUCAGGUGACGACUGCAGGAAGUGAGAAAUUCAUCUCAGCAGAAUUCCAAGUUGUGACACAUGGACACAUCAAGCCACCUCCGAUUCCAAUUUGUUGUUUGCACGUUGCGAGAUGACUCGAACUGACCUUCCUCCUCUUGCGAUGGAUGUCGCCAAUGCUGUUGGC